GCCGAAGUGGCGGAAUUGGUAGACGCGCAUGAUUCAGGAUCAUGUGUCCGAAUGGACGUGGGAGUUCGACUCUCCCCUUCGGCACCA
rnacentral:tRNA from 1 species